rnacentral:rRNA from 1 species
GCUAGAGCCAUAUCUCCCUGCAGUUCUCGCCUGGUUUCCCACUGAAUCUAAGCAGGGUUGAGCCUGGUGAGUGAGCAUGUGGAUGGGAGACCUUCUGGGGAAAACUAGGGUUGGUGCUGGAA